rnacentral:rRNA from 1 species
UAAUACGUAGGGUGCGAGCGUUAAUCGGAAUUACUGGGCGUAAAGAGUGCGUAGGCGGUCCCGCAAGUCCGCUGUGAAAGCCCCGGGCUUAACCUGGGAAUGGCAGUGGAAACUAUGGGACUUGAAUCUGGCAGAGGGGGGUGGAAUGCCACGUGUAGCAGUGAAAUGCGUAGAGAUGUGGCGGAACACCGAUGGCGAAGGCAGCCCCCUGGGCUGAGAUUGACGCUCAGGCACGAAAGCGUGGGGAGCAAACAGGAUUAGAUACCCUGGUAGUCCACGCCCUAAACGAUGACAACUAGGUGUUGGGGAAGCGAUUUCUCAGUACCGCAGCUAACGCGUGAAGUUGUCCGCCUGGGGAGUACGGUCGCAAGAUUA